AAAGAUUUAGUUAAAUUAAUAACAUUAGAAUGUCAAACUAAAAUUAUUUAUAUGAAAUAUUCUUUA
rnacentral:tRNA from 1 species